rnacentral:misc_RNA from 1 species
AUACUAGGUGAAGAUAGGAGUUUACGCAUCCUCUGUGAUGGUACCCUUGUCGCUCACGUAGAUACCAUCCAAGAACUUCCUGAUAUCCUUGUUCUUCACGUGGCAUUUCUGGUUGAUGAGGGCUGCUGAGCGAGAGACGAGCUCGAUGUCGUUGCCGUCGAGGACGAGCUCGUCCUUCACCUUCUCCGACCGCAAGAUGGUCACCCCCUCGAGCAUGUCAACCUUCCUCACCUUCUUCUCGCCCAAGAAGUUCCUGAUCUCGAUGGCGGUGUUGGAGUUGGUGAUGGAGG